rnacentral:rRNA from 1 species
GCAAGUCGAGCGCGCCCUUCGGGGUGAGCGGCGGACGGGUUAGUAACGCGUGGGAACAUGCCCUUUACUAAGGAAUAGCCUCGGGAAACUGAGAGUAAUACCAUAUAAGCCCUUCGGGGGAAAGAUUUAUCGGGAAAGGAUUGGCCCGCGUUAGAUUAGAUAGUUGGUGGGGUAAUGGCCUACCAAGUCUACGAUCUAUAGCUGGUUUUAGAGGAUGAUC